rnacentral:rRNA from 1 species
GACGAACGCUGGCGGCGUGCUUAACACAUGCAAGUCGAACGGAAAGGCCCUGCUUUUGUGGGGUGCUCGAGUGGCGAACGGGUGAGUAAAACGUGAGUAAACUGCCCUUGACUUUGGGAUAACUUCAGGAAACUGGGGCUAAUACCGGAUAGGAGCUCCUGCUGCAUGGUGGGGGUUGGAAAGUUUCGGCGGUUGGGGAUGGACUCGCGGCUUAUCAGCUUGUUGGUGGGGUAGUGGCUUACCAAGGCUUUGACGGGUAGCCGGCCUGAGAGGGUGACCGGCCACAUUGGGACUGAGGUACGGCCCAGACUCCUACGGGAGGCAGCAGUGGGGAAUAUUGCACAAUGGGCGGAAGCCUGAUGCAGCAACGCCGCGUGCGGGAUGACGGCCUUCGGGUUGUAAACCGCUUUCGCCUGUGACGAAGCGUGAGUGACGGUAAUGGGUAAAGAAGCACCGGCUAACUACGUG